CACUUUAUGUGAGUAAGAUCCCUGGAAGAUGACCAGGUAGAUAGGUCAGAGGUGGAAGCAUGGCGACAUGUGGAGCUGACUGAUACUAAUCGAUCGAGGACUUAACCA
rnacentral:rRNA from 1 species